AAAAUAUUAUAUUUAUGUAGAUUCUAUAUAUAUUUUAUCACUUUUUUAAAAAAAAAAAUAAGAAAAAAAAACUUUGGUCACGUGACAAGUUUCGACCAUCUUCGUAACACACCGUAAGUUUCGACCAUCUUCAGCUUUCGCUUUCGGAUGGCUGUGACCUAGUUCACACGAUCCUUUUGUCCACGAUUGGAGACGCGCAAAUUUCAUACUGAUUUUAAAACAUUUUUUCGGAAUGACAUAACGUGUCGAAGAGAAAUAUACGUCUCCUUGCGGUAAACCAGAAUACAGCACGGCAUUUUGCUUCAUAUACGUGUUAUUCAAAAAACAACAACAGUUUAAAGCCAAAGGAACCCAAUCUAACAAAUGUCAGUCGUUGGACAUUCUAAAUCAUGAUCUGAUAUAUCGUUUGGAAAUUCUCCCCUUUGCUGAUGAAAUACCUUCUAUCAUUUAAUGGAUAUUUAAGUAGAACAGAACGGAACAGAACAGAACAGAACAGAACGGACCAAAACAGAACUCUCAGUCAGCAUUUACAUCUCUGUAAACGGCAUCGAUAUUGCCAUUUAAUUUAUCAUAUACGAUUUAUAACUGGUAUUCUGCGGAUUCUGAACUUAAUGCUCCGUAAUUGAUACAUUGACAUUUUCUUGACAAAAUAUUGAUAAAUCAGUUGAUAGACCGAUAUCGAAGUUGAAUUUUGCUGUUAUCCCAAUUCAGAAAGCAGCUUAAUACAAUAAGUACAAUGAUUAUCAAGAUUUAUAAAAAAAAAUUCACCUAGAGUUAUUUUGACAUAGGAAAUUCUACACGUCUGACAAACCGGAAGUAAAGGCAUGACGUCAUUUAACCGGAAAUAUAACACAAAACCUGCGCUCGGCAUAUGGAUUCCCCUUUUCGUUUGCCUAAUUUUCUUAAAAUAUCUAUGGGUUUGAAAACUUAAGAUUUUCUCAAUUUGAGCAAAAAACAACAAUAACAACAACGACAAAACCACCAUAAUGUAAAUUCUGUAUGUUUUGUGCAAAUAUAUCAAGAGGAUACAUGUAUACAAAUGUGUAUAUGAUAUUUUAAAUUAAUUGUUAAGAAUAUUAUUUACAUUUGUGAUAUAAUAGAUGAAUCUAAUAUAAUGAAGUUAUA